CUUCGCCAUAAAUCGGAAGAAAAGCUCCCCCCUCCCCUCACAGAGUGUGAUUUAUUUGGGGGUAGAGCUGGAUUCAGCUGUAAUGAGAGCAUGGCUCUCAAAGCAGAGGAUGGAGACGCUGUGGUCUCUCCUCCGUCGCUGUUCCCCGGGCAGCGUUGUGACAGCCCUCUCUGUCAUGAGGCUGCUGGGCAUGAUGUCAGUCGCUCACGCGGUGGUGCCGCUGGGGCUGCUUCACAUGAGGCAGCUGCAGAGAUGGUUUUCUCGCCUGCGCAUCGACCCGGUGCGCCAACGGCGGCGCAAAGUGACCAUUCCCCUAUCAGUGGGCCCCGAUUUGUCCCACUUUGGCGAUCCCCGAACCCUCACGAGAGGAGGGCCGUUGGGCAGAGCAACGUCACACAUCUCAGUGUUCACGGAUGCUUCUCUGUCGGGCUGGGGAGGAACAUGCGAGUUUCACGUAGUGGGCGGCAUUUGGCCGCCCCCCGUGAGCAUGCAUAUAAACGCAUUGGAGCUCCCCACUGUGUUGAAAGUAAUCCAACACUUUGCCCCAAUGUUAACAAAUCAACACGUAAUGAUUCGCACGGACAACAAGGCGACAGCAGCACACAUAAAUCUCCAAAGGGGGCGUGCGCUCGGCACAGCUGCUGAGCAUAGCGAGACAGCAGUUAUGCUGGGCGCACACACACUUGCUCUCCAUCAGAGCAGUGUACAUCCCCGGUGUCCUGAACAGACAUACUGUCGAGGGGGUGUCCCCAAACAGGACACUGGACUCUGCACCACCACCGUUACAGUUUAAAUCAUUUUUCACAACCUACCAGCUCUCGUUGUGAAGACAAGUCAAAGUGCCAUUCGUUUCAAUGGGAAUCGCAACGGUCUAUAAGUGUACAUAUUUAUUAUUAGAAAUUCGUACCAGCCUUUAUACCUCAGAUACUAUAGGGUCUAUAGCAUAUAACCGCAUUUUCUGAUUACAGUUUAAUGCAUUUUUCACAAUUAACCAGCUCUCGUUUCGAAGGCAGUGUUAAUUUUGGCAGCUAGAUUUAGUCUUGGG
rnacentral:lncRNA from 1 species